rnacentral:rRNA from 1 species
UACGUAGGGGGCGAGCGUUGUCCGGAAUGACUGGGCGUAAAGGGCGUGUAGGCGGCGGAUUAAGUCUGGAGUGAAAGUCCUGCUUUCAAGGUGGGAACUGCUCUGGAUACUGGUCUGCUUGAGUGCGGGAGAGGUAAGUGGAAUUCCCAGUGUAGCGGUGAAAUGCGUAGAGAUUGGGAGGAACACCAGUGGCGAAGGCGACUUACUGGGCCGUAACUGACGCUGAGGCACGAAAGUGUGGGUAUCAAAC